CCUAGCCUGGUAGCGGGGGAGUAACUAUUGGAAACGAUAGCUAAUACCGCAUAAUAUUGAAUAUCGCAUGAUAAAUUGAUUAAAAAGAUGCAAUUGCAUCACUACCAGAUGGACCUGCGUUGUAUUAGCUAGUAGGUGAGGUAACGGCUCACCUAGGCGACGAUACAUAGCCGACCUGAGAGGGUGAUCGGCCACACUGGGACUGAGACACGGCCCAG
rnacentral:rRNA from 1 species